AUUGAACGCUGGCGGCAUGCUUUACACAUGCAAGUCGAACGGUAACAGGCCGCAAGGUGCUGACGAGUGGCGAACGGGUGAGUAAUGCAUCGGAACGUGCCCAGUCGUGGGGGAUAACGCAGCGAAAGCUGUGCUAAUACCGCAUACGAUCUAUGGAUGAAAGCGGGGGACCGUAAGGCCUCGCGCGAUUGGAGCGGCCGAUGUCAGAUUAGGUAGUUGGUGGGGUAAAGGCUCACCAAGCCAACGAUCUGUAGCUGGUCUGAGAGGACGACCCGCCACACUGGGACUGAGAACCGGCCAAGACCCCUACGGGAGGCAGCAGUGGGGAAUUUUGGACAAUGGGCGCAAGCCUGAUCCAGCCAUUCCGCGUGCAGGAUGAAGGCCCUCGGGUCGUAAACUGCUUUUGUACGGAACGAAACGGCCUUUUCUAAUACAAGAGGCUAAUGACGGUACGGUAAGAAUAAGCACCGGCUAACUACGUGCCAGCAGCCGCCGUAACAC
rnacentral:rRNA from 1 species